GACAACCCAUCUAAGCGCUUCUCAUGUUCAAGUUACACUACCAGCAGGCAAGAGCUGCUUUUGGAAUAAUUUUAAGCUUCUUCCUCAACGUGCACUCUCUUUCUCUCUCUCUCGGAGUUAAUGUUGCCUCAAUAGUCAGUUCCAGAUGAUUUGUGGUGACCAGAAUCAAGAAUGCAUCAAUUUUUAAGGCUGGACUGGUAGAUGGACAGAGUCAAUAUCUCCUUGAAGCAUAUGAUACUCUACUGCAGUCCAAUUAGCUUGAAGGGUGAUGUGGAGAUUCCAAUAUUGGUCUAAGUCUUUCUUCAACGCAUAAAGAGGAAAUUAUUGGUAUUUAGAUGCUAGAGUUUUCUCAAAAAUUUUAUAAAUGGGCUUGCGUCAAUCCCAAAUGUGGAAGAACUGAUAAGAUUUGCAUUGGAAUUGCUUGAACUAAGCCACCAAGUUACGAAGAGAAAAAAAUAAACUUUGCAAAUAUGGAUGUUUUUGAAGAUUUAAGUAAUGAUAUGAGUACCUGGAUAUUCUUUUCGCAUUC